GGGGGCGACAUGGCUUCGACGUGGGUAGCAAAACCUCAGGUGCAUGCCGAGCACAGUACAGCUCGUAAAACCUACUGAAAAAAAGUAUUCGCAAAUGACGAAAACUACUCAGUGGCCUUAGCAGCUUAAAACCUGCACCACUUCUCUGACCAGAUGUACUUAUGCGUCUGGAGUUCCUUUCGUGCCCCUCGGGGUAUAAAGGGGGCGCUCAGGGAUCAUAUUACAUAAGAUCGCGCCAGGGCUUAGUUCGGAGCCUGAAUCGCUAAAUCCAAUCGAAAUCGCUGUUGAUCCUCUUGGCCCGACGGGUAGUCAACAGUUAAAUCAAAAGCGCGGGAUAAGCAUGUAGAGCUUGUGGCGGAGUGCUUGCGGACGCGGGUUCAAUUCCCGCCGCCUCCACCA
rnacentral:tmRNA from 1 species